CUACGGGGGGUGCAAGCGUUAUUCGGAUUUAUUGGGCGUAAAGAGCGCGUAGGCGGCUUGGUAAGUCAGAUGUGAAAGCCCGGGGCUCAACCCCGGAAGUGCAUUUGAAACUAUCAGGCUUGAGUAUGGGAGAGGGAAGUGGAAUUCCUGGUGUAGAGGUGAAAUUCGUAGAUAUCAGGAGGAACACCGGUGGCGAAGGCGACUUCCUGGACCAAUACUGACGCUGAGGCGCGAAGGCGUGGGGAGCAAACAGGAUUAGAAACCCGAGUAGUCC
rnacentral:rRNA from 1 species